rnacentral:rRNA from 1 species
UACAGAGACUGCGAGCGUUAUUCGGAUUCACUGGGCGUAAAGGGUGCGCAGGCGGCCAAGUGUGUGAGGCGUGAAAGCCUGGGGCUUAACUCCAGAAUUGCACCUCAAACUACAUGGCUAGAGCAUUGGAGAGGGUAGCAGAAUUCACGGUGUAGCAGUGAAAUGCGUAGAUAUCGUGAGGAAUACCAGAGGCGAAGGCGGCUGCCUGGACAAUUGCUGACGCUCAGGCACGAAAGCGUGGGGAGCAAAAGGG